rnacentral:lncRNA from 1 species
CAGGAAAUGAGAGUAUAUAAGAUGAGAAUUUGAGUGAAAUUCUGCAAAAAAAAAAAAAACUGGUUUUUCUGCUUCUACUAAGCAAACGAAUAAGAUCCAACUAUAAAAGAAACAGUAAAGAAUUGAAGAAUCGAAGUGAGAUUUUUGUUUCCUGGGGAAAAUGAGAGAUACCCAAACGAGAGUUUUAAGUAAAAUUUUGCCUAAAAAAGAAAGAUGAGAGUCCAAAACUGCAGAACUCAACUGAGAUUUUGUUUUCUGAGCAAAGGAAAGGAAACCCAGAUGGGAAAAGGUAUAAACUUUCUUAAUCAAACUGGGAUUAAACAAGUAAACAAAGUAAUCAAAUAUAUAAUAGAGAAAUGAAAGAAAGAUGAGGGAAACUACAAAUCAGAAAAAAAAAAUGGGCUCAAAUUCUGAAGCCAAUAGAGGCAAUGGAGAGCAACUUGGAGAAGUGGGGUUUUAAAAGAGGGUUAAGGAAAAUGUAGAUACAAGUUUGAAGAGAAUUCAAAGAAGGGAUCCCCAAAAGAAAACGUCCACUUUGGGGACUAGUUGAUGCUGAAAGAAUCAAAGAAGAAGAGGAAAAAAAAAAGUUUGCCUUCUAAAGAGAAGUUGGGCAGAGGGCGUUGAGCUGCAACAAGUGAAGAAGAUGACGCUUCUUCGGUCCAACUUUAUGACUCUUGUUA